rnacentral:lncRNA from 8 species
AUGGCAGCCGACUGCGAGAUGGACGGCUACCUGAGCUCCUCUGGCUUCCAGGAUCCCGGGGAUCCCCAUCUCCAGCCUCCUGUUAACUCCGCCCCUUCCUCCAUCACUCCUGUUCCGUUGCCCCUGGAGAUCCCUCGCAUCGAGGCCCUGGCCAUCAAGGCUCCUUCCCCUGACGCUCCACCAAUCCCGGCUCUCCGCUUCCCCUCGAGUAUCGCUGUAUCCAACACUACCAUGCCCCAGUCAGGAAAUGCCAGUGGUUUCUCUUCUCCUGUCGACAGCUAUGCCUCUGAUGUGACAUCAGGCUUGAGUGAUGGCAAUGAGGGCCUAUCAGAAAAGAGUGCCAACAAACGUACCGGUACCAAGCUCUUCAGGAGGAGAGCCCGCUCACGCUUACGAAUCACUGGGGUAUGGAAUGUCUGCCUGUCUGUUUCUCUAUCUAUCUCUCUGUCUGUCUGUCUGUCUGUUUGUCAGUUAGCAGUUCUACCUAGAGAAUUCUCUUCGAUUAUAAUCACAGCCGCAUAUAUCCCCUCCAAGCAGAUGGCCCUGAACAAACUUCAUUUGACUCUAUGUAAACUGGAAACCACAUAUCCUGAGGCUGCAUUUAUUGUAGCUGGGGAUUUUAACAAGGCUAAUCUGAAAACAAGGCUCCCUAAAUUCUAUCAGCAUAUCGAUUCUGCUACCAGGGCUGGCAAAACCCUAGAUCAUUGUUAUUCUAACUUCCGUGACGCAUAUAAGGCCCUCCCCCGCCCUCCUUUCGGAAAAGCUGAUGACGACUCCAUUUUGUUGCUUCCAGCCUAUAGACAGAAACUAAAACAGGAAGCUCCUGUGCUCAGGUCUGUUCAACGCUGGUCCGACCAAUCGGAUUCCACGCUUCAAGAUUGCUUCGAUCACGUGGACUGGGAUAUGUUCCGCAUUGCGGCGAACCACAACAUUGACGAAUACGCUGAGUCGGUGAGCGGUGCAUCGGCGAUGUCGUACCCACAGCGUCUAUUAAAACAUUCCCAAACCAGAAACUGUGGAUUGAUGGCAGCAUUCGCUCAAAACUGAAAGUGCGAACCACUGCUUUUAAUCAGAGCAAGGUGACCGGAAACAUGACCGAAUACAAACAGUGUAGCAAUUCCCUCCGCAAGGCAAUCAAACAAGCUAAGCGUCAGUAUAGAGACAAAGUAGAGUCGCAAUUCAACGGCUCAGACACGAGAGGUAUGUGGCAGGGUCUACAGUCAAUCACGGACUAUAAAAGGAAAACCAGCCCCGUCGCGGACCAGGAUGUCUUGCUCCCAGACAGACUAAACAACUUCUUUGCUCGCUUUGAGGACAAUACAGUGCCACUGACACGGCCCGCUACCGAAACCUGCAGACCCUGGGUCUCGACCCCGCCCUGUGCAACUGGGUCCUGGACUUCCUGACGGGCCGCCCCCAGGUGGUGAGGGUAGGUAACAACAUCUCCACCCUGCUGAUCCUUAACACUGGGGCCCCACAAGGGUGCGUUCUCAGCCCUCUCCUGUACUCCCUGUUCACCCACGACUGCGUGGCCAUGCACGCCUCCAACUCAAUCAUCAAGUUUGCAGACGACACUACAGAGGUAGGCUUGAUUACCAACAACGACGAGACGGCCUACAGGGAGGAGGUGAGGGCCCUCGGAGUGUGGUGUCAGGAAAAUAACCUUACACUCAACGUCAACAAAACAAAGGAGAUGAUCGUGGACUUCAGGAAACAGCAGAGGGAGCACCCCCCUAUCCACAUCGACGGGACAGUAGUGGAGAGGAUAGAAAGUUUUAAGUUCGGCGUACACAUCACGGACAAACUGAAAUGGUCCAACUACACAGACAGCGUGGUGAAGAAGGCGCAGCAGCGCCUCUUAAACCUCAGGAGGCUGAAGAAAUUCGGCUUGUCACCAAAAACACUCAAACUUUUACAGAUGCACAAUCGAGAGCAUCCUGUCGGGCUGUAUCACCGCCUGGUACGGCAACUGCUCCGCCCAUAACUGUAAGGCUCUCCAGAGGGUAGUGAGGUCUGCACAACGCAUCACCGGGGGCAAACUACCUGCCCUCCAGGACACCUACACCACCCAAUGUCACAGGAAGGCCAAAAAGAUCAUCAAGGACAACAACCACCCGAGCCACUGCCUGUUCACCCCGCUAUCAUCCAGAAGGCGAGGUCAGUACAGGUGCAUCAAAGCAGGGACCGAGAGACUGAAAAACAGCUUCUAUCUCAAGGCCAUCAGACUGUUAAACAGCCAUCACUAACAUUGAGUGGCUGCUGCCAACAUACUGACUCAACUCCAGCCACUUUAAUAAUGGAAAAAUGUAUGUAAUAAUUGUAUCACUAGCCACUUUAAACAAUGCCACUUCAUAUAAUGUUUACAUACCCUACAUUACUCAUCUCAUAUGUAUAUACUGUACUCUAUACCAUCUACUGCAUCUUGCCAUCUUGAUGUAAUGUAUCACUAGCCACUUUAAACAAUGCCACUUUUAUAUGUUUACAUAUCCUACAUUACUCAUCUCAUAUGUAUAUACUGUACUCUAUACCAUCCACUGCAUCUUGCCUAUGCCGUUCUAUACAAUCACUCAUUUAUAUAUUUUUUUUAUGUACAUAUUCUUAUUCAUUCCUUUACACUUGUGUGUAUAAGGUAAUUGUUGUGAAAUUGUUAGGUUAGAUUACUCGUUGGAUAUUACUGCAUUGUCGGAACUAGAAGCACAAGCAUUUCGCUACACUCGCAUUAACAUCUGCUAACCAUGUGUAUGUGACAAAUAAAAUUUUAUUUGAUGAAUUAAUCACAUAGAAAGAGGAUUGCAAUCCAAGUCAUCCUUGGUCUUGUCAAGUGGCUACGUGUUCUGAGUGGAUAAACACUUGUUUUUCUCCUGUCCUUCCAGUUAUCUGACAAAGUGGACCGUGUGGUGGAGUGUCAGC